rnacentral:rRNA from 1 species
AGUGGCGGACGGGUGAGUAACGCGUGGGUAACCUGCCUCAUACAGGGGAUAACAAGUUAGAAAUGACUGCUAAUACCGCAUAAGACCACAGCACCGCAUGGUGCAGGGGUAAAAACUCCGGUGGUAUGAGAUGGACCCGCGUCUGAUUAGGUAGUUGGUGGGGUAACGGCCUACCAAGCCGACGAUCAGUAGCCGACCUGAGAGGGUGACCGGCCACAUUGGGACUGAGACACGGCCCAA